UUUCCGUAGGUGAACCUGCGGAAGGAUCAUUCAUAAUAAAGUGUUUUAUGGCACUUUUUAAAAAUCCAUAUCCACCUUGUGUGCAAUGUUAGAUCUCGUCAAUCUUGGCGAGAUUUUUAUACAUCAACUCAUUUUUUAACUAAUUUGUCUGAAAAAUAUUAUGAAUACUUAAUUUAAAAUACAACUUUCAACAACGGAUCUCUUGGCUCUC
rnacentral:misc_RNA from 1 species